rnacentral:rRNA from 1 species
CGGAUAGAGCCAGCGAAGCUGCUCGCAUUCAGCCGAAAGCCACAGGCCUCGGGCGGUCUGGAUGCUAAUCGCGCCUGAUUGUCUAUUCGCUUGUGGUUGAGGUGCAUUUGUGGGUAAUUGCGCUGAGACUUGUGGGGUAGUGGCUAGACGCGUGCAUAGAGGCUUCCCUCUGGGUUGAACCUUUGUACAUCGAUGGCUAUUUACUCUGCUCGUAAUCGGGCUUGGCCUACGGGCCUGUGCGUUUCUGUUGCGGCCGUACGGUGAAGUCGCWUGCGAUUUCUAGUUCGGUCGUCGUAGUUGCGUAUAGUGCUCUCAAGUCUGCUCUCGGUGUAGAAGCUGGUCAUCUAUCCGACCCGUCUUGAAACACGGACCAAGGAGUUUAACGUAUGCGCGAGUCAUUGGGUGUUGAAAACUCAUAGGCGCAAUGAAAGUGAAGGCCCAGUCGCUGGGCUUACAUGCGAGUGGUCAGACUGCGGUUUGGCCAUGCAGCAUGGUCCCGUUCCAAUCGCAUGCGAUGGAGCGGAGAUAGAGCGUAUGCGUUGAG